UACGUAGGGUGCGAGCGUUUGUCCGGAAUUAUUGGGCGUAAAGGGCUCGUAGGCGGUUUGUCGCGUCGGGAGUGAAAACCUCGGGCUUAACUCGGGGCUUGCUUUCGAUACGGGCAGACUAGAGGUAUGCAGGGGAGAACGGAAUUCCUGGUGUAGCGGUGAAUGCGCAGAUAUCAGGAGGAACACCGGUGGCGAAGGCGGUUCUCUGGGCAUGAUCUGACGCUGAGGAGCGAAAGUGUGGGGAGCGAACAGG
rnacentral:rRNA from 1 species